rnacentral:rRNA from 1 species
AUUGAACGCUGGCGGCAGGCCUAACACAUGCAAGUCGAGCGGGGUUUUCGGACCUAGCGGCGGACGGGUGAGUAAUGCGUAGGAAGCUACCCGAUAGAGGGGGAUACCAGUUGGAAACGACUGUUAAUACCGCAUAAUGUCUACGGACCAAAGUGUGGGACCUUCGGGCCACAUGCUAUCGGAUGCGCCCACGUGGGAUUAGCUUGUUGGUGGGGUAAUGGCUCACCAAGGCGACGAUCCCUAGCUGGUUUGAGAGGAUGAUCAGCCACACUGGAACUGAGACACGGUCCAGACUCCUACGGGAGGCAGCAGUGGGGAAUAUUGGACAAUGGACGCAAGCCUGAUCCAGCCAUGCCGCGUGUGUGAAGAAGGCCUUCGGGUUGUAAAGCACUUUCAGUAGGGAGGAAGGGUGUUGUGUUAAUAGCACAGCAUUUUGACGUUACCUACAGAAGAAGCACCGGCUAACUCUGUGCCAGCAGCCGCAGUAAAAC